rnacentral:miRNA from 1 species
UCCAGCUGUUUUGGGACAAGUCCCAUCAUCCCUGACCACUGGUCCUGUUAGCUAGGGAUGAUGGGAGUUGUAGUCCCAAAACAGCUGGA